CAGAGGCUGUGAGGUGGCUCCGUGAAUAAAGGCCCCUCCUGCUGCCAAGUCUGACAACCUGAGUUUAUAGUUCCUGGGACCUGACUCCUAGAGAAGAUGAUAAGAUACGUCCCAGAGGGCUCUGGAGAAAAUUAAAUACGAUACUUCAUGUAAAUGAACCCCACUUGUUCAUACUGGAUGAAUAACCAACCGUGGAGGGCCGGAGAGACAACCAAAGAAGUACAGGGACUUGCCACAGUGCCUGACAUCAGUUGGAUCCCCAGAACCCACGUGAAGGUAAAAGAACCACAGCUCCACCCAAGUGCCACGCAUGUGUACACAUAUUCAUCAAGUAAAAAUUGUUAAAUGAAUUUAAAAAUUUUACAUUUAUAAAAGAGACCAAAAGAA